AUUGAACGCUAGCGGGAUGCCUUACACAUGCAAGUCGAACGGAGUGGCGAACGGGUGAGUAAUGUAUCGGAACGUGCCCAGUAGCGGGGGAUAACUACGCGAAAGCGUAGCUAAUACCGCAUACUCUUGGAGCGGCCGAUAUCGGAUUAGCUAGUUGGUUGGGUAACGGUUCACCAAGGCGACGAUCCUUAGCUGGUUUGAGAGGACGACCAGCCACACUGGGGCUGAGACACGGCCCAGACGCCUACGGUAGGCAGCAGUGGGGAAUUUGGGACAAUGGGGGAAACCCGGAUCCAGCCAGCCCGGGUGUGCGAUGAAGGCCUUCGGGUUGUAAAGCAAUUUUGGCAGGGAAGCGGUACCUGGAGAAUAAGCACCGGCUAACUACGUGCCAGCAGCCGCGGUAAUAC
rnacentral:rRNA from 1 species